UAUAGUGUGCACCAUCCCUGAUCCCGGUGCCAUGGCUUUGGCUCUGCCCUACCUGCCCAAUGGAACGUGAGGAUAGCAUACAUCUCAGUCACACUCUAGUCAACCAUUAUUUUGUGAAUUAAAAAUACAGCGGUAAUGGCCUCUCCGUGCCUAGCAGUGCACCAUUUUGAGUAGAAAGAAAACGAGGGCAGCCAUUCACCGCAACCUUCUUGUAGCUUUAUUCCAAAUAUCGAUACACAUAUAAAAUCACUCCAUAGGUAAAGUGCUCUUGUGCGGACCCCGCCACGCAGCUGUCUCCGCCGAGCGGUCUGAAGAUAACAUGGUGGUAUCUGCAGCAGAUUUCACUGCAAAGGAGUCUAAGGCAGGGAUGUCAGCUAAAGACAAUUAAGUUUGACCUUUUUAUGAGGAAGAUUCUUCACGGUUAAAGUUUCAUCUACAUGAUUAUUACUUCGUUGUCAAGUUUCACAUGUUGUUUUCAAGUUUGGAUAUUCAAUUUUUUCAACUAUUUCCUGAAUUUUAGUCUGUGCAACAAAGUAAGAGGGAUUCAGAUAUUAUAUGUUAUGGACUCUGACCUGAUUGGCUAUUAUAAAUCUACUGUACGCAUGAUUUCUGUAAAGUUUUCUUCACUGUAACUGUUUUAACCCUUUGCUGCUAUGUGAGCUAGUAAAGAAGGAAUU